AACGAACGCUGGCGGCAUGCCUAACACAUGCAAGUCGAACGAGACCUUCGGGUCUAGUGGCGCACGGGUGCGUAACGCGUGGGAACCUGCCCUUAGGUUCGGAAUAACUCCCCGAAAGGGGUGCUAAUACCGGAUAAUGUCUUCGGACCAAAGAUUUAUCGCCUUUGGAUGGGCCCGCGUUGGAUUAGCUAGUUGGUAGGGUAAAAGCCUACCAAGGCGACGAUCCAUAGCUGGUCCGAGAGGAUGAUCAGCCACACUGGGACUGAGACACGGCCCAGACUCCUACGGGAGGCAGCAGUGGGGAAUAUUGGACAAUGGGCGAAAGCCUGAUCCAGCAAUGCCGCGUGAGUGAUGAAGGCCUUAGGGUUGUAAAGCUCUUUUACCCGGGAUGAUAAUGACAGUACCGGGAGAAUAAGCUCCGGCUAACUCCGU
rnacentral:rRNA from 1 species